rnacentral:rRNA from 1 species
GGAUUAGAUACCCUGGUAGUCCACGCCGUAAACGAUGGUCACUAGCUGUCCGGACUUAGGUCUGGGUGGCCAAGCGAAAGUGAUAAGUGACCCACCUGGGGAGUACGUUCGCAAGAAUGAAACUCAAAGGAAUUGACGGGGGCCCGCACAAGCGGUGGAGCAUGUGGUUUAAUUCGAUGAUACGCGAGGAACCUUACCAGGGCUUAAAUGUAGAGUGACAGGUCUAGAGAUAGAUUUUUCUUCGGACACUUUACAAGGUGCUGCAUGGUUGUCGUCAGCUCGUGCCG